GCUUCCUUGGCUCAGUUGGCUAGAGCGCAGGUCUCAUAGUCUGUCUAUGAUUGAUUGAAGAAUCAAAUAAUCCUGAGGUCGCAAGUUCGAGCCUUGCAGGGAGCA